UGAUAUGUGGAACUGUCAUUACAUGAGAGUCCCCAAGCCCUGGCUCUAACCUCGAAUUUUACAUAACAAUCGCCGGGCGAAAAACAUUGUUUUACCAUCACAGUGUAAUAGUUAAUCAUUGGAAAUGACUUUCAUUAAUUCAGACGAAAAGCCACCAGCUGAUAGUGAAGGAAAACCGUCCACGUCCAGUUCGCACGGUUCAAGUGAGUGGGGUUACGACCUGUACCCGGAACGUCGGGGGGCGAAGCCCCAAGCAUCCUUCACCGAUGUGUUGCUGGGCAGAAAGGGCCGGGAGAGUUACCGGAAAAUCGACUGCGAAAGGAGCGUGUACAGGUGCAUUAAAACGAGCCCGCUUGUCCGACUGAUGGUGGGCGCUUUGAAGUCUGCAGGCUGCGCCAUAGAUAUCCGGCGGCAUAUCAGCUGUGAGGAGUGCGCCCCCGAAGUGAGCGGCGGUUACGACCCGAUCCUAAACCAGGUUGUGAUAUGCCACAAUAACACCUACAGAGAGGGAAUGGUCCAGGGAGUGCUGACCCACGAGUUUAUUCACAUGUUCGACUAUUGCCAGAACAAUUUGGACUUUAAAAACCUCGACCAUUUGGCCUGUACUGAAAUCAGAGCGGCCAAUUUGGCGCAUUGCAGUUUCGUGUCCGCUUGGUUGAAUGGGGACACGUCGGUGUUCCGGUUUAAGCAAACGCAUCAGGAUUGUGUGAAAAGUAAGGCUUUGAGCUCGAUUAUGGCAGCGAGGAAUAUCACGACAGAUCAGGCAGUUGAUGCGAUUGAACGCGUCUUCACCAAGUGCUACAAUGACUUGGAACCGAUUGGGCGAAGGAUCAGGAGGAACAGUUUGGAUAUGCACAGGGCGUUUGAGGAGGGAUUUUACUUUGGGUACGACGAUCAAAUGAAGUAGCAAAACGACCAGUUGAGUGAUCAAUGAGAGUGCGAAAUCAUUAGAGUUCUAGUCGUAAAAAGGCAAAUUCCCCGAGUUUCCCGCAGUCCUUCCUUAAGUCCUCGCGUUGUCCAUCCAGCCAUUGACGUCGGUUUGGUGAAUGAGCCGUGGUUCUGAGCGGCAGAAAAGUGAUUGUUUCCAGCAAACGCCACCAAAGAAACCGGUUCGUAAAAGGUGAACAUAUUUUUAAGAUAUUACGUCGUUAAUGCGGGCCUAGAGAACUUGUUUCGACGCUGCCAGCAGAGGAAAUCAGUCAUUAAGCAUCAUCUGGCUCGAGGGUGAAUUUUCCUUUUAGGCCACUUUUGCACAACAAAUUCCAGACCAGUUUCUUAGUUAGAAUGCACUUGAAUCUCGGGUGCGUUUAACUUGCACUAGAUCCUGAUUUUGCGAUUGAUUGAUUGAUUGCCUACUGCCCAAACGCGUCUAAAGACGAACCUUUUCCAUGCUAUUGCGCUCCUUGAGUCACUAUUUCUACCGAUUUCGUGGUCUUUUAGCAUCAAAACGGUGGCACUGCCAAGUCAUUCUGAGGUGGGGACCCCAAAAGCGCGCUCAUUAAAAAAGGUUAAGCUUGAAAGGUUUACAGAAAGUCCCAAAAAUCUUAGUGCGAUCCUCAUAUUUUUUCUGCUGAGUCUAAAAAGGAACGUUCGCAGCCAAAAGCGCGCUCUCCUGGGUCCAUACAACGCGAAUAAAACACUGCGUUCUCCUUUGACC